GUGGGGAAUUUUGGACAAUGGGCGCAAGCCUGAUCCAGCCAUGCCGCGUGCGGGAAGAAGGCCUUCGGGUUGUAAACCGCUUUUGUCAGGGAAGAAAUCUUCUGGGCUAAUACCUCGGGAGGAUGACGGUACCUGAAGAAUAAGCACCGGCUAACUACGUGCCAGCAGCCGCGGUAAUACGUAGGGUGCAAGCGUUAAUCGGAAUUACUGGGCGUAAAGCGUGCGCAGGCGGUUGUGCAAGACAGGUGUGAAAUCCCCGGGCUUAACCUGGGAACUGCACUUGUGACUGCACGGCUGGAGUGCGGCCGAGGGGGAUGGAAUUCCGCGUGUAGCAGUGAAAUGCGUAGAUAUGCGGAGGAACACCGAUGGCGAAGGCAAUCCCCUGGGCCUGCACUGACGCUCAUGCACGAAAGCGUGGGGAGCAAACAGGAUUAGAUACCCCAGUAGUCC
rnacentral:rRNA from 1 species